rnacentral:rRNA from 1 species
GACGGAGGAGGCAAGCGAUAUCCGGAAUUAUUGGGCGUAAAGGGUACGUAGGCGGCUGGUCAAGUCUGGGGUCAAAGGCCACAGCUCAACUGUGGGAAGGCCCUGGAAACUGACCGGCUAGAGUGAGGUAGGGGUUGCGGGAAUUCCCGGUGUAGCGGUGAAAUGCGUAGAGAUCGGGAAGAACACCUGAGGCGGAAGCGCGCAACUGGGCCUCAACUGACGCUGAGGUACGAAAGCUAGGGGAGCGAAAGCG